UACGGAGGGUGCGAGCGUUGUCCGGAAUCACUGGGCGUAAAGGGCGCGUAGGCGGCCUGGCAAGUCGGUGGUGAAAGCCCGUGGCUCAACUACGGGUCGGCCACCGAUACUGCUAUGGCUCGAGUUUGGUAGAGGCAGAUGGAAUUCCGGGUGUAGCGGUGGAAUGCGUAGAGAUCCGGAAGAACACCGGUGGCGAAGGCGGUCUGCUGGGCCAAGACUGACGCUGAGGCGCGACAGCGUGGGGAGCAAACGGG
rnacentral:rRNA from 1 species